rnacentral:lncRNA from 1 species
CUUGAAUGUAAACCUUAAAUAGUGUGCAGAUAAAAUAUUGAGUUCAUUUUUUGAAUUUUCUUGAGUUAAUGUACUAAUUUCUCUCUAUCUUUCUAUGCAGAAUUAUAAAUAUGCAUCAUCUUCAUUUAUGUUGAAUAUUUUUCCUUGUAUCCCUUUGAUUCAUUAAAGAUGGAUAUGCAAUAUAAUCACAACAAAUUCUCUCUAUGUUGCACUACCUUGGAGACCAGACUACUAAGACAAACCCAUUACCACAUGUAAGAAUGUCUGGUUUUUUUUUCCACGUUCCAGAAUUUGGAUCCCAUCAGAAAAUCUCCAGGUAAGGCGCACAUGAGCAGAAAAUCCUAUAUAGUGCUUUUCUAUAGAACAUCCA